GAUUUCUAUAAUCACUUCUUUAGUUGUUUAAGUAAUAUAAUGUUUUAAUUAUUAAGUUCAUAUGAAGUUGAGGUCAAAUCAAUAGAUUAUUUUGAUAAAUGCACGAAUGGGUCGAAUAAUUCAUAGAUGAAUAACAAGCCGAAUACGUUUAAGAAAUUCCUUAACUCGGAUGUUGGACUUCAAGAUCACAUGAUAAAAUAUUAAAUUACAAUCAUAUAGGAAGUAACGUGACGCAAAACGGAUGAAAAAUGAGAGAGUUAUGUCCGUUUCGGUAAGGAUUAAUGGCUAGGAAAAGUGCAGAGUUGACACGGCCGGGUGGUGAACUGACACGACCGGGUGAAGGUUCUGUCAAAAAUAUUAUUUAUGUGAUUUAUGCGCCGUAGGCUUCGGUAUAUUAUCCGUGAACUACGACGGGCCUCCCAAACAUGAUUUCGAGUGUUUCCUUGACGAUUAUAAGUUGUAAACCCAAGUCUAAGCCUCAUGUAAUUUAUAUAAGAAUGUGAUAGAUGUAUGUAAUGAAGUUGGACAUGUAUUACAUGUAAAUGUAUACAAAAAUACGUACGGAACACGUAGGUAUGAAUACAUGAUUGUAGGUAUGAUUAAAUGUAUAUUAGGUAUGUAGAUGUGUAUGAUUGUAAGUUUGUAUGUGUGCAAGUAUGUGCGAAUGCAUGAUUUGGAUGCAUUUGAGAAUUAGCGUUACUAAUAAUGCCCUUGGGUUUGGAAUAUAAGUUAAUUGGAUGCAUUUAAAUGGUUGACGUCCUUUUUAUGAAGAUGUAGUAAAUGAAUAUGUUGAGAUUACGGGUUUGGCUAACCAAGUUAUUAUUGAGUAUGUUUGAAAGUGCAGGUUAUGAAUGUCGGACUUUCGAAGUGUUGAUAUAAUAAUGAAACGGUUGAAUGUUGAAAGGAUAAUCGGAUUGAAGUAACUUAUGCGGUAAAUCCUCAAUUCAGGGGACUUGGAGAAUCGGAGCGAGCGCGUGUUCAUGUUAUGUCAUACCAAACGCUUCCGCUAGCUUGUUCAAAUGUUUUUAGUCCAAAAUUUGUUGUUUUGGUUCUUAGUAGUAUUUCGUCGAAUGAAUUGUAGAAUUGUAUCUAGUUUGUUUAUGUUUAAAACAGGGGUAUGCUCGUUUAAUGGACGGGUCAUGCCCAAUUUUUGUUAAAUUAAUGCACCUGCGUUAUUGA